GACUCUUAGCGGUGGAUCACUCGGCUCGUGCGUCGAUGAAGAACGCAGCCUAGCUGCGAGAAUUAAUGUGUAUUGCAGGACACAUUGAUCAUCGACACUUUGAAAGGCACUUGCGGCCUCGGGUUCUUUCCCGGGGUCUACGCCUGUCUGAGCGUCG
rnacentral:rRNA from 1 species